CUCCUACGGGGGGCAGCAGUGAGGGAUAUUGGUCAAUGGGGGAAACCCUGAACCAGCAACGCCGCGUGAGGGAAGACGGUUUUCGGAUUGUAAACCUCUGUCCUCUGUGAAGAUAAUGACGGUAUCUAACGAAUAAGCACCGGCUAACUCCGUGCCAGCAGCCGCGGUAAUACGGAGGGUGCAAGCGUUACUCGGAAUCACUGGGCGUAAAGAGCGCGUAGGCGGGAUAGCAAGUCAGAUGUGAAAUCCUAUGGCUUAACCAUAGAACUGCAUUUGAAACUGUUAUUCUAGAGUAUGGGAGAGGG
rnacentral:rRNA from 1 species